rnacentral:rRNA from 1 species
GAUACAGAGAGAUUACAGAAGUUUUAUUUAGGAGAUUAUAAGUAAGCGAGACGUUUAGAAGAGAUUGUUUUCGUACUUUUUGCAUCAUGGGGCAUAGAGUUUGCUUGAGGUUUCACGUUCCUGAAAGGCUCUGAGCUAUCUUAUCUUGCGCGUUAGGCUCUUUAUGGGCGGCCGCCAAGCGGCCACCCGUUGGUUUUGUCGUUUCGGUUGAACUCCUGGGUCUUUGUGGGUCUGUGGUGUUGCAUUAUCACAGGAAAAGGUUUGAUAGACAGUGAAAUGUUUGUCGCAGGGUCUUAUAGCUGGUUAAGCGGAAAGUGCGCAUAAGUGCAGCGUUGAAAUUUUACUUGAGAGAAUCAAAAGAAGGUCUGGUAAGUCGUCGAUAGUGAGGUUGUAGGGGUAAGCUCUACAACAGUGAGAUUUUAUUGAAUUAUAUGUAAGUAGAGUUAAUAUUGCUUGUCUUAUUUUGAAGUCUUGUUCAAAGUGGCUUUUUAAGAGGUUCAAUUCUUAGUACCGUUUUACGUCGAAAAGCUUUUAUGGGUUAACUUAGUAUGCUAUUUGUAGGUAUCUCGUAGUUUCAGACUACUUGAGUUAGAUAAGCUGCAGCUUGGUUUUUAGUUCGAUUGUCUUGGGUUGUUGAUUUAUUAAAAUUCAUUUUUCAUCCGUGUGUAUCGGGUGUAAGAGGAAAAAAUAGGUGUUUGAAAAAGUGGAUUUAAGGAACUCGGCAAAUAUUUUCUUCGCCUGUUUAUUAAAAACAUCGCUCUCAGUAAGCUAAACAUUGGGAGUCGUGCCUGCCCGGUGGAUUAUGUUUUCUAAACGGUUGCUAUUAAUAGUAGUACUAAGGUAGCGCAAUUGAUUGUCCCUUAAUUAGGGAAGGGAAUGAAUGGCUUGACGUGGAAAUGCUGUCUCAAAUUCAAUUGCUGAGCUUUACUUCUAGGUGCAAAGGCUUAGAUGUUUAUAUUAGACGAGAAGACCCCGUCGAGCUUGAUGAGGCCUUUUAAUUGGUUUAGGGGGUUGAAGUUUUGUUGGGGCAACAAAAAGCAAGAUUAAUGCAUUUGUGAUUGUAUUAUUAAGAUCCUCUAGUAGGGAUAGGGAGAAAAAGCUACCGCGGGGAUAACAGCGUAAUGUUUUUGGAUAGAUCAUAUUGAAGAAAAGUGUUGCGACCUCGAUGUUGAAUUAGGGUGUUAUCCUGGCGCAGCCGUUGGGAUUGUAGGUCUGUUCGCCCUUUAGAACCCUACAUGAUUUGAGUUUAGACCGGCGUGAGCUAGGUCGGAUUCUAUCUUUAUUUUAGGUCUUCUUUGUACGAAAGGAUCGGGGGGCCGGGCAUUGCCUUUAUUAGUUUUAUAAAUUUUAAA